GUAGGUGGGGUAACGGCUCACCUAGGCGACGAUCCCUAGCUGGUCUGAGAGGAUGACCAGCCACACUGGAACUGAGACACGGUCCAGACUCCUACGGGAGGCAGCAGUGGGGAAUAUUGCACAAUGGGCGCAAGCCUGAUGCAGCCAUGCCGCGUGUAUGAAGAAGGCCUUCGGGUUGUAAAGUACUUUCAGCGGGGAGGAAGGGAGUAAAGUUAAUACCUUUGCUCAUUGACGUUACCCGCAGAAGAAGCACCGGCUAACUCCGUGCCAGCAGCCGCGGUAAUACGGAGGGUGCAAGCGUUAAUCGGAAUUACUGGGCGUAAAGCGCACGCAGGCGGUUUGUUAAGUCAGAUGUGAAAUCCCCGGGCUCAACCUGGGAACUGCAUCUGAUACUGGCAAGCUUGAGUCUCGUAGAGGGGGGUAGAAUUCCAGGUGUAGCGGUGAAAUGCGUAGAGAUCUGGAGGAAUACCGGUGGCGAAGGCGGCCCCCUGGACGAAGACUACGUUCAG
rnacentral:rRNA from 1 species